rnacentral:SRP_RNA from 1 species
CUCCUUGCCAGUCCGGCAGAAGCCUACUGAAUCCCGCCAGGUUCGGAAGGAAGCAACGGCAAGUAGUGUGUACUGGGUGGGCUGGCAAGUAAGAA